rnacentral:rRNA from 1 species
AACGCGAAGAACCUUACCUGGUCUUGACAUAGUAAGAACUUUCCAGAGAUGGAUUGGUGCCUUCGGGAACUGUGAGACAGGUGCUGCAUGGCUGUCGUCAGCUCGUGUUGUGAAAUGUUGGGUUAAGUCCCGCAACGAGCGCAACCCUUAUCCUUUGUUGCCAGCGGUCCGGCCGGGAACUCAAAGGAGACUGCCAGUGAUAAACUGGAGGAAGGUGGGGAUGACGUCAAGUCAUCAUGGCCCUUACGACCAGGGCUACACACGUGCUACAAUGGCGCAUACAAAGAGAAGCGACCUCGCGAGAGCAAGCGGACCUCAUAAAGUGCGUCGUAGUCCGGAUUGGAGUCUGCAACUCGACUCCAUGAAGUCGGAAUCGCUAGUAAUCGUGGAUCAGAAUGCCACGGUGAAUACGUUCCCGGGUCUUGUACACACCG